rnacentral:rRNA from 1 species
CCUACGGGAGGCAGCAGUGGGGAAUAUUGCACAAUGGGGGCAACCCUGACGCAGCAACGCCGCGUGAUUGAAGAAGGCCUUCGGGUUGUAAAGAUCUUUAGUCAGGGACGAAAAAUGACGGUACCUGAAGAAUAAGCUCCGGCUAAAUACGUGCCAGCAGCCGCGGUAAUACGUAGGGCGCAAGCGUUGGCCGGAUUUACUGGGUGUAAAGGGCGUGUAGGCGGGCUUGUAAGUCAGAAGUGAAAUCUGGGGGCUUAACCCCCAAACUGCUUUUGAAACUGCGGGUCUUGAGUGAUGGAGAGGCAGGCGGAAUUCCGAGUGUAGCGGUGAAAUGCGUAGAGAUUGGGAGGAACACCAGUGGCGAAGGCGGCCUGCUGGACAUUAACUGACGCUGAGGCGCGAAAGCGUGGGGAGCAAACAGGAUUAGAUACCCCAGUAGUC